GAUGAACGCUGGCGGCGUGCUUAACACAUGCAAGUCGAACGAGAAGUGAAGACGGAAACCUUCGGGCGGAAGGCUUUAUUUCGAGUGGCGGACGGGUGAGUAACGCGUGGGUAACCUGCCUCAUACAGGGGGAUAACAGUUGGAAACGACUGUUAAUACCGCAUAAGACCACAGCACCGAAUGGUGCGGGGGUAAAAACUCCGGUGGUAUGAGAUGGACCCGCGUUCGAUUAGCCAGUUGGCGGGGUAACGGCCCACCAAAGCGACGAUCGAUAGCCGAUCUGAGAGGAUGACCGGCCACAUUGGGACUGAGACACGGCCCAAACUCCUACGGGAGGCAGCAGUGGGGAAUAUUGCACAAUGGGGGAAACCCUGAUGCAGCGACGCCGCGUGAGUGAAGAAGUAGUUCGGUAUGUAAAGCUCUAUCAGCAGGGGAGAAAAUGACGGUACCUGAGUAAGAAGCCCCGGCUAACUACGUG
rnacentral:rRNA from 1 species